UUACGACCAUAUCACGUUGAAACACCGGUUUCCGUACGAUCACCAAAGUUAAGCAACGUCAAGCCUAGUCAGUACCUAGAUGCAAGACCGAUUAGGAAUUAC